AAAAAAAUACUAAAUUAUAUCUAACUAUUUGGCACCCUCUCACGGAUGGUCCAAUCCAUUUUGUCACUGACGAGUGGGGUAAUCUGGCAGGGCAAAUGGGCUGAUAUUCGCUUCGUAAUAGUGGCAAAAAGUAAAUUAGACCAGUAAAUUGUAUGAUGUAUUUACAAUUGUGAAGGGUCACUGGAUGCCUAGUGAUCUGAACAAACACUUUUUUCUUGAUAUCAGACAAAAUUACCAUACACACCAAUAGUUUCCAUCAUUACAAUGUAUAUGAUUUACGAGAACCACAAUUUACGAGAAUUAAGGGACAGGAUGACCCGAAAUUACCAGAAGAGCAGUGUAAGAAAUUUGGUUUUGCUCUAUAGAAAGGCACGGUAAGACCACAAAGGCAUCUAUCCAUAUGGCGUGAUCAGUUACUAUAAAAUGAGGCCCAAUUAACUAGAAUCCAAUAUCCUACAAUGCCUUCAGUAAAGUACCAGAACUUAUGGGUUACCACAAUGGCACCAUCAAAUUACCAGAUUGGAUCAUUAAUUUACUACAAAGGCAUUUACCAAAAACAAGAAAAUUAUGCAUUCGCAUUAUGAUAAUACAAUUUGACCACCAAUGUUUAAAAUGUCAGUCAGCCUGCAGUACUCAAAAUGCACCACAUUUUAAAUAGAAGGAAAUAAGCUGACCGACAGAAAUGCACCGCAAAAUUUCUCUGUCAAAAUUACAGUAACACCACAUUGGUUGACGUAACUUUCUGACAGUGAUUUACAAAAAACAUAAUUCAUAUUAACAUGAAUCCAUGAAUUUACUAUAACACUGACCAAGUUCCAUCAUAAUUCAAAAUAUUUAUUACCAGAUAAAAACAACAAGAACUCUAUAAAUACUAGUAAAAAAUAUGGUUAAUUUACCACAUAUUUUAUAUGUAAAAGUUUUGUACCACAACAAUGAUUGACGUCAAAUACUGACUAUGAUUUAUGAGAAAGACUGAUAAGUAUUUUAACAUGAAUCCAUUGUUUUACUUUAACAUUCAGGUUCCAACAUAAUUGAAAAUCCAAUUUCAUGCAAUUUAGAACCCAAAGCCAGAUAAAUCAAUCACAACUGUAUAACCUGGUGAAAUCGACAUAGCUCAGAAAAGUAGUAAAUUUACUGUGGCGGAACCGUCCAACUUAAACUGGUUUAAAUGCGCCUAAUUGCUGCCGACGCAGCAAUUAUCCGAAGCGCACUUAAAACAGUAUAAGUCCGGUCGUCCGUCGAGUGUCCCUAGGACUCCUCGAAAGAUCCAUGUCGUGUCUCAUAGUCAUACAUCAGGAUAGCAUCCGCGAUGGGAUAGCAUCAACAAAUAUUACAUUUUUACAUACAUACAAAAGGUACGAGUUAAUACAGAACAUAGUUUGAAGCAAACUUAAUAGUGCAGUGUUAGAUGAAGUUAUAGGACUUAAAACAUAAACGGUUCAGGUGGAGAUGAGCAUUUAAAAACUUCUUCUAAGGGUAUUGUGAGACUCAUAACAAUAUCCUAGGGCUUCGGGGCCUCCUCCUCAGUGGACUCCUGCGGUGCUUCUGAAAAGAUAGCCAUAAGGGAUAACCCUGAGUACGGGGUACUCAGCAAGUCUUACCCGACUAACCAAUAUAAUAGUUUUUCUUGGAAGUACAUGAUAGCUCUUUGGUGUGCUUGGUUGACAUAUUUUUGCCGAAAAGCUUACUACAAGUGAUGCCUUAGUUUUAUCUUUUAUUUGAGUUAAGUUGUUACCUAACCAUUCUAGACGAUGAGAAAAGAGUAAAUGCAACAAUAAGGUAUUAAGUCAUACAUCAAUCAUUAUCAGAAGGAUAUAACAUUCAUAGAUUUAUGCUAUGAUGCUCAACAGUGAUCAAGUGCAUUCAUAACCGAGAAUUGCGGCGAUCCGGAUCAUAUUACAUCCUGUAGGAGAGUACCCUGAUCACCAGUUAUAUACGACUGUCCAGGUCGUAUGUAACGACUUUUCGAUUAGCAAAACCAAUGACUGGGAAUAAGACUACCCGGACCCAGGGACGCACCCCCACAUGGGACCCCACGUCUGGCCCGAUCACCAUGUGAGUUUCAGGCUACGCCCCUGCCAAUCUCCAGCACGUCAAGCGCGGGUACGAAGUAUUCCCGAUCAGAGAGUUUACUAACCUACUGGGCUUUACUGGUCCCAUACCCAGUAAGUGAUCAGAUGAUUAUCACUUGAUCAAAGGUUAAGACAACGAAUCGGGCCUUAACCAAAUUAAUCUAGCAGACAGAACUACAUCCCUAGCUUCUGUCUGCUUCUCAAUUUCCAUACCAUCCUUUCAUAAAUAACAUGUAUGACUCAAAAGUUUUUCCCUAAGGUUGGUAAACCAAGCAUUUAAGCAACUAAGCAUUUCUAGACUUGGGCUAUCUACUAAAGGUUUGAACAAGUGGCAAAGAUAUCCUUAAAACAAGAUAUGAUCAUGCACAAGAAUGGGUUCCAAGCAACUCCUAGACUUAGUGCAUACAUAUAGCAAAUAGCUAAAUAUAGGACACAUGAAAUAUUGACUUCAAAAUAAUAGGUGUAAUGCACCGGGGCUUGCCUUGUUCGCUUAAAAAAUUAGCACUGUCCGAAGGGUUGGCCUUGCAGGGGACCAAUUCAAAGACUUCUUCAAACUCCGAAGAUCCUUCUAAAAAUUCCAAGUAAUCUCCUUCUGGCGCUUCGGGGUCUAUAGCACAACAUAUGCAGGGGUUAGGAAUGCAAAUUUUUGAAUAUAAGACUAUACAACUUUCCUUCAUGAUAAAGUUGCAAGCCAACAAGGACUAUACAAUUUAUCAUGAUAAAGUUGCAAGCCAACACACAAAAACCCGAAAAGAUUAGCCCGCAAUUUUUAUUUCCUUAAUUAACCUUACUUAAGGCCUUUCUUUUAUUUUUAGAAAAGGUUACCAUUAUUUUCUAACUUGAAAACCUAAUUUCCUAUGAGUUAAGAAUAAUUUGUGAUUAUGAAAAUGUUAUUCCAUAUUUUAUGCAUUUUAUAAAGAUUAAGUAUUUAUUUAAUUACCUUAAAAGAAAGGCAUUAAAUAAAUACCUAAAUUUUAUUAUUUUUCUAGGGUAUAAAAAUUUUAAUGCAUAAAGGAAAAUAAAACAAGCCUAACAAAAUUGGUUUCACUAAUUUUGGAUACUUCUAGAAAUUUCUGUGAUUUAAAUGGUGAGAUUCGGAUUUAAACUAAUUAUUCUAUAAAGAAAAUCUAAAUUUUCCCGAAAAACACCCCCGGGCAACUUUUCUCACGCGGCCCUACUCUACCCCCUCUCACUUGCGCUGGGCCCGUGGCGCGGACCCACCCCUUCUCCUAUUCCUUCUACCCGUCGGCCUACUUCUCCCCCGGCCGGGCACUACUGGGCCGAUUCUUCUUUCUCCUUCUCUUUUCACCCGCGACGGCCCAACGGCCCACUUUUCUUUUUCUUCUUUUUCCGCAGCGGCGGCCUGCUAGCUUCUCUGGGCCUCCGGCCUUCCUCUCCCACCGGCCACUCGCAUGCGCACCUGGGCCUCCGAGACCGCGGCCCAACUGGCCUUCGCGUUCGGCUGGCCUGCUCCCUUUCCUUCUCUUCCCCACUGACGCGCGGGCCCAAGGCUCCAGCGCCUUCUUCUUCCUCCCGCCAAAUCCCGCGCGCGACAGGGGGCGGCGCGGCUCGCCGGCCAGCGCCCUACCGGCGACGGGGCUAGGCCGGGGAAGCAUCCCCAUACCCUAGCGCACCCGUGCGCGGCGACAGCUCCUCGGGAGAUGGCCGGAGCCACUCCCUCCACGACGGCGGGCGGCGGCACCUACGGCCGGUCGCGGCCACGCACGACGACGGCGCAAACUAUCCCAACGACUAUUACUGCACCAUCCUAGCAUCCCAAGGACCUGCCUAAGGCUACCCAAGAAGGAAGAGAACAAACGCAAGGAGGUGCUCACCGUGAGCAGGAGGCGCGGCGACGACGGACAGAAACGGCGGCGGUUUAUGGCGUGCCGGCGGAGAGGCUGGGCAACAAGCUGCUAGGGUUGCUGGUGGGGUGUGGGUGGAGGUGUGGACGGAGGGAAUCGACGAGAGCGGCGGUGUGGUGGGAGUAUUUCACCCGGCGGCGGCGGCUUGGACAGAGGAGAUGGCGGCAGUAAAAAGAACAGCGGUAGAAGCGGCGGCGCGGGAGCGGUAGUUAUUCAAGCUUUCACCGCGCGCAUGGUUGCCACCGUGGUCUACUCGUAGGCUUGCGUGGUGAAGAGGUGGCGUAGCUGCUGCGCUGGCGAGCGACCGACGACGGCGGCGGCGACACAUCCUGCCUGCUCUGUCAUCCUCCCCCUCCUUAUCUCUGGCGCCCGAAACUUCAGAGCUCCACCGCGGCCGAUUUCAAAUCCGACGGUCCCCAAGUCGUUUAGACAAAGUUGUAGAUAAACUUGAAUCCUUCAACUUUUAUUUUGGCUCUACCCCGAGAUAAACAUCCGAGCACAGUGAAAUUCGAAUUUUCCUUUCUGCUUCAACUGAAUUUCACUGAUCUCAAAGUUCAGUUCGUCAGUUAUCUGACAGUGCCAUUUACCUCACUUUGUGAAUGAGUUCAGUGAUCCAAAUCCUUUCCUUGUAGUCCAACUUCCUCCCAAUUGUGUUCUACCAUCUUCAAGGAUUCCAUUUUGCCCAAAAACACCUACACCUUUUGAUCUACAUUCCUCUAAAAUCAAUUCCAAAGUCGGCCAUGUACUGCUGUUUUCAGACUUAGCCAUUUUCAGCAAAGCUGCCUACUGUGACAAAGUGCCGACUUUAGGCCUCCAUUUGAAAUGGUUCCCUCUACUAUUCCUGAUCAACAACACCCAAUUCUAGGAGUCCAAAGUCCACACUUCAUUAUUAUGUAGUUGUCUUGGUCCACUUAUUUGGAAAAAUUAGUCAGAAUUUAAUUUCCAAAAUGGACUCGGCUGUUGUUUUCUGAAUUUCCUAUUGUCGGAUGGUGAAUAGUACAUUUCGGUUUUUACUUUCUUUCUUUGAUUCUUUUGAGAUAUUUAGGACCAGUUCUGUUCCAAAUUCUUGAUCCUCAAGUUCUAAUCACCCUUACACCUUUAUUCCAUAUUUUUGCCGAAUUUUUCUGAAUUUCAAAUUCAAAAUUCAAAUUUCGGUCAAAUUUGACCUGAAUUUGAUUUUUGGCCAAUUUCUUUUUCUUUUCUUCACGAAUUGCUUCCAAUUCUUCAAAGUCACUUUGGUGACUAAAAUGGCAAGGUAUUACAUUUACUAUGGCGCCGAGUCAAUGAAGAUCUAGUAAAUUAGGAGAAUUUGUACUAUGCAGCCUGUUAAUUUACUGAGUGAUCUAUCAUUGAAAAGUAUAUUUGGCUACAACAGGAACUCCCAAUGUUACACACAGCUAAUCAGACAAAAAAAAUAGGCUAAACCUGAUGAAAUCGGCAAAAUUAAAAAAAAAGUAGUAAAUUAUAUGCUUAAUUUAGUACUUUACAUGUCAAUAAUGUACUACGCAGCUUGGUAAAUUAUUAUUUUGUCAGAACUGGAAUUCAUGAGCCUAAUAGCAAAGAGAUGAAGU
rnacentral:lncRNA from 1 species